GCAACGCUGCUACUUCAGGGAUCAAAAGAAGAAAAAAAAAAAAGGGACUCUUCUUGUUCUAUAGUGAGCGAACGAACGAGGAGAAACAUAAAUUUAAAUUGAAAGCCUUAGCUCUCAAACUAAAGAGAGAGGUGGAAGAAGAAGAAGAACAAGAAGAAGAUUGACCAAAGGAAUUCGUACGGAGUGAUUGAGUGGCAAGCUUGGUAACUCAACACAAGUACAGUGAGUAGUAAUCUUACCACAAUUGAUGUUUUAUAACUUGCAUGACUUUCACAUGGUUUAUAAAGUAAAUGUGUUAUUGAAUGUUUUGAACUUGCAUGUGGGACAAGUCUUUUACUGGAUAUGAUACUGAAAAGAUUAUUUGAGA